AAGACUCGACUUUCCAGGGUAAUUUCUAUAGUUUAUUACUAGAGAAGAUUCUCUGAAGGUAUAGAGCAUCAAAAAAAUAAUAAUUUAAAAAAGGGAAUAGAAAAUCUGA
ensembl:snoRNA U3 Small nucleolar RNA U3